GGGCCUAUAGCUCAGCUGGGAGAGCGCUUCAAUGGCAUUGAAGAGGUCAGGGGUUCGAAUCCCCUUAGGUCCA
rnacentral:tRNA from 3 species